rnacentral:rRNA from 1 species
GUACAGGUCUCCGUAGGUGAACCUGCGGAGGGAUCAUUA